rnacentral:rRNA from 1 species
GACGAACGCUGGCGGCGUGCCUAAUACAUGCAAGUCGAGCGGAACCAAUGGAGCUUGCUCCAUUGGUUUAGCGGCGGACGGGUGAGUAACACGUGGGCAACCUGCCCUGCAGAUCGGGAUAACUCCGGGAAACCGGUGCUAAUACCGAAUAGUUUGCGGCCUCUCCUGAGGCUGCACGGAAAGACGGUUUCGGCUGUCACUGCAGGGUGGGCCCGCGGCGCAUUAGCUAGUUGGUGGGGUAAUGGCCCACCAAGGCGACGAUGCGUAGCCGACCUGAGAGGGUGAUCGGCCACACUGGGACUGAGACACGGCCCAGACUCCUACGGGAGGCAGCAGUAGGGAAUCUUCCGCAAUGGACGCAAGUCUGACGGAGCAACGCCGCGUGAGUGACGAAGGUUUUCGGAUCGUAAAACUCUGUUGUGAGGGAAGAACACGUACCAGGUAACUACUGGUACCUGACGGU